AACACGUACACAACCUUCCGAUAAGUGGGGAAUAGCCCAGAGAAAUUUGGAUUAAUACCCCGUAACAUUGCGAUGUGGCAUCACAUUGCAAUUAUAGCUUCGGCGCUUAUUGAUGGGUGUGCGUAUGAUUAGAUAGUUGGCGGGGUAACGGCCCACCAAGUCUACGAUCAUUAGCUGAUGUGAGAGCAUGAUCAGCCACACGGGCACUGAGACACGGGCCCGACUCCUACGGGAGGCAGCAGUAAGGAAUAUUGGUCAAUGGACGAAAGUCUGAACCAGCUAUGCCGCGUGAAGGAUUAAGGUCCUCUGGAUUGUAAACUUCUUUUAUAUGGGACGAAAAAAGGUCUUUCUAGAUCACUUGACGGUACCAUAUGAAUAAGCACCGGCUAACUCCGUGCCAGCAGCCGCGGUAAUACGGAGGGUGCAAGCGUUAUCCGGAUUCACUGGGUUUAAAGGGCGCGUAGGCGGGCAGGUAAGUCAGUGGUGAAAUCCUGGAGCUCAACUCCAGAACUGCCAUUGAUACUAUCUGUCUUGAAUAUUGUGGAGGUAAGCGGAAUAUGUCAUGUAGCGGUGAAAUGCUUAGAUAUGACAUAGAACACCUAUUGCGAAGGCAGCUUACUACGCAUAUAUUGACGCUGAGGCACGAAAGCGUGGGGAUCAAACAGGAUUAGAUACCCUGGUAGUCCACGCCCUAAACGAUGGAUACUCGACAUUUGCGAU
rnacentral:rRNA from 1 species